UACGAAGGGGGCUAGCGUUGUUCGGAAUCACUGGGCGUAAAGGGCGCGUAGGCGGCUUUUCAAGUCGGGGGUGAAAGCCUGUGGCUUAACCACAGAAUUGCCUUCGAUACUGUUAGGCUUGAGACCGGAAGAGGUGAGUGGAACUGCGAGUGUAGAGGUGAAAUUCGUAGAUAUUAGGAAGAACACCAGUGGCGAAGGCGGCUCACUGGUCCGGUACUGACGCUGAGGUGCGAAAGCUAGGGGAGCGAACGGG
rnacentral:rRNA from 1 species